AUGGUGAUCUAUAUUAUUAUACUGCUGUUAUCAACUGAAGAUUCCAGAGCCUCAGAAGUCAUCACUCCAAAAAGUGUCAGAGUAUUUGCUCUUGAGGGUGACAAUGUGACACUCUCCUGUAACUACAGCGGUUCUGCUCGUGGUGUUCACUGGUAUCGGCAAUAUGCAGGUUCACCACCACAGUUCCUUAUAUUAGAAGAUUUAGGGGUAAGAACUCCAGCUAAUCCACCCGUUCCAGGAAUAACCAUCAAUCACAGAAAAAAAGAAAGCCAUGUGGAUCUGAUCAUCUCCCCAGCUACAGUAUCAGACUCUGCUCUGUACUACUGUGCUCUGCAGCCCACAGUGACAGGAAACCCUAUAACACUGUACAAAACAAUUUUCAUACACUUAUCAAGCCUUGAUAGAAAUGUGCUAACCACAUCUGGUCUCAACAACAAAAAGGUCAAAAAAAAUAAAAAAUAAAACACAUAAUGUAC